rnacentral:rRNA from 1 species
GACGAACGCUGGCGGCGUGCUUAACACAUGCAAGUCGAACGAUGAGGAAAAGAAUCGAAGCUUCGGCAGAAAUUCAUUUCGGAUUAGUGGCAGACGGGUGAGUAACGCGUGAGCAACCUACCUCUUACAAAGGGAUAGCCUCGGGAAACCGGGAUUAAUACCAUAUAACAUUGUGACGAAGCAUUUCGAUGCAAUCAAAGCUACGGCGGUAAGAGAUGGGCUCGCGUCCCAUUAACCGGAUGGUGAGGUAACGGCUCACCAUAGUGACGAUGGGUAACCGGCCUGAGAGGGUGAACGGUCACACUGGAACUGAGACACGGUCCAGACUCCUACGGGAGGCAGCAGUGGGGAAUAUUGCACAAUGGAGGGAACUCUGAUGCAGCGACGCCGCGUGAGUGAUGAAGGAAUUCGUUUCGUAAAACUCUGUUCUAUGGGAAGAAAAGGACUGUACCAUAGGAGAAAGCGCCGGCUAAAUACGUG